AAGUGCAGUGACUGCCCAUUCUCAACGGGCCACCGCCACCACCAUGCUCCAGGUCCCCCUCCUUCCAAACCAAUGUCUCACCUGCCUCCAGCCUCUCCUGGAGAUCUAAGGAAGGAAACUGGGAAAGGACCAACAUCAACGCCUCAGGCCCCAUCCAAUCAUUGCCCACCUCCAGCUGGUACCAGAAGGCUCACUUAUAAUAGUUCUCGUUGGCCAUUGACAAGCACACAUUCAAUUAUAGGCUUUCCCAUACAAUGCUCCUUUUCAUAGAUCUUCAAUUUAAAACAAAUCCCAGGCAAAUCUUCUCCAGGACUUUCCUGUAUGAUGUUGAUUUGUUAAGUAGCCUUAUAUAUUAGGCAUAUUUUAAAUAAGUAUAUGUGUACAUGUAAAUACAUACAUGUUUCACUCUGGAUAUGAAAUUACAAGUUUUAUGGUAGCUUGAGAAGCCAUUAUGAACGUGGUCACAGGAACCAACUAUAAAAAUGAUCAAUUAGGAAUUAAAUGGAGGUUCUUGGACUUUGUGACAGGCAUUAUAAACAUCAUUAUAGCGUGCUUGGAUUGGCCAAGAAACAGGACUAGGAGCUACCAGAACUAUGGCUGGAAUGGGCUCUGACUCCAGUGGAUUUGAAGAGAUUGUGAACAUGACUGCCAAAGUCAAGCUCCAGGAGCCUACCUCUGCAGAGACAAUGCGCUAACCAACCUGUGUGUUGGCCUCCAUUGCUUUUCCCUAAAAAUAAGAGCUAACAUCAGCCAGUGGAGUUCUGCAUACAGAUCAUCGUGUAGAACGAGGUCAACAUGGCCUUAACUGUCACAGAAUUCAGGGAGGUGAAAAAUUGUAACUGGGUGCAUACUGCUCUGGAAGAAAUACAGGUUCAGUUGACAAGGAACAGAGAAGAAACAGACAUUGCACAGAUAUUGAUAAGGAACCAGUGCUGAUUCAGUUCGUGUUCCCACUUCGCAAAUGCAUCCCCGCUCCCUUCCACCCCCCUGCCAGAUUCAGCCCUGUUCUGCUUUCCUUCGAUUGUAGUACAAUGACAUUCAGCUCUGCCAAUGACUGUGUGGCCCCAGGCAAGUCCCUCACUUAACCUUCCUGAGCUGCUCUUCCUUCGCCUUUAAAAUGGGCACAGCAAAAUCCACUCCACAGGGUUGUUAGGGGGAGGAUUAAAGAAGGCCACUUUGGAUAUGAUAUCAUUUUGUAAAAUGUAAUGUGUUAUGCUGGUUAUUUUUUUAAAGAUUUACUUAUUUAUUUGAAAGUCAGAGUUACACAGAGAGGAGAGGCAGAGAGAGAGAGAGAGAGGUCUUCCACCCAAUGGUUCACUCCCCAGUCGGCUACAAUGGCCAGAGCUGCACCAAUCCGAAGCCAGGAGCCAGGAGCUUCCUCCAGGUCUCCCACACAGGUGCAGGGGCCCAGGGACUUGGGCCAUCUUCUACUGCCUUCCCAGGCCAUAGCAGAGAGCUGGAUCAGAAGUGGAGCAGCCGGGAUUAGAACCGGCGCCCAUAUGGGAUGCCGGGCGCUUCAGGCCAGGGUGUUAGCCAGCUGCACCACAGCGCUGGCCCCUGGUUAUUUUGUUUUGCUCAUCGAUAAGUAAUAUUGAGGACUACCUAAUGUGGACGUCCUUGGGCAUUUGGGUGACUGUGAGCUUGGGAUAAUUUUGUUGAAGUUCCAUACCUUCUCAAAAACCAGUCAACACUAGCCAGCUGAUUGGGAAAUCCCUGCUUUUGAAGUGAAUGUCAAAGUAGUAUAUUAUACACUUCCAUUUCAGGAAUUCUGCUAAGUCAUCCUACUUUGGAAGUAAUCACAAAUCCUUAACCUUCAGAAAGAACACAUAGGCCAAGAGACAAUGUCUUCAUUAGUUAAUUUAGCAUAGAGUGUUGUUAGUAUCUAUGAAAUAUGAAAAGGAAACCUUCAUGUUUGCUGUGCAUUUGGCCUUUUAGGGAAUGCAUUAAAGUUUAAGAAGAUACCACUGAAAUGGGUCAUGUUCUCUACCCCAAAUCCAGUUGCUGUGUCCUCCUUUGUAACUGAAGUUUCAAGGACCUCCCCUCCAACAACGAAAACCCGGUGUAAUUAUUGUCUGAUAUUCUGAAUUCAAUCAUUCGUUGUCUUUCAGCUCCUAGGUUGUUGCUUGUCAUUAUAAGCCCUCUCCAGGGUGCCCAGCGUUGGUAUUAAGUACACACAAAUCUCACAAACAUAAUUUGAUGGAAAGGAUCUUCAAAUUUUUUUUUUGUGAAUUGCUCAGGUUUUCUGGUGAUUUGUAAUGGCAAGCUCUUGCUAAAUAAUGUCAGGUAUUGUCCUAAACUCUUUUUAAAUGCAUGGUUCAAAAUAUUGGUGGAUAAUUUCUAGAAUGGGCUCUGAGCAGAGACUCACCAAGAGGAAAAAAGCAUCAUUAGUUUCUCUCCUCCACUAAUUUCUCCAAGUACAUUCCACAGCUCUCCCACUCAGUAUAUUAAGCAGAUGUGGUCUUUGUCCACCUAGUAAGUCGUGUUAGACCUUUCAACACUCACAGUCUUUUUAUCACUCAGCUGCCAAGUUCCCUAGGGUAAUCAUAGACAGCUUGUCAAUUUAAUUGCAAAGAAACAGGCUUUCUUGUGACCAUUCCAAUUUUAGCUGCUACUUUAAAUUGUACAUGAUAGUUCUUCCAUGCUGCUGCCCUUUACAGAGUGUAGGCCUCUCCAAGCCUCUUAAUGGUGAUGGGAAGACGAGGCAAAGCUGAAAAUCUGGCUUGCUGACGGAGCCUGUAACAUGUUCUUUUAUUAAGUUGCUGCUUUAGGAGAGGGAAGAUUUUCCUGAGUCCUGUAUGUUGUCAUUACACAGCCAAUGCUAAAUUAAUUUUUUUUCUUUUAAAUGUUCCACUUGCAUGCACAUUUUCCUCCUUUCUGGGUGAUAGAGGAUUCAUAGGCCAUCUGGAUUCAGAAACAUCUGGACACUGAAUUUCUGCAGAGGAGAAUCGGAGGGAAGAGACAAUCAGUGGCACAGGGUGUCUCCAGAGAGAUUUAAAUCAACAAUGAUAUUUUCGUCGUGUCCCUUUUGGAAAGUCGACAUGAGAGUGAAAGAGAAAACAACACAUCACAUGAAGCCAGUGUUCCCCGAUACCAAGAUAGGGUUGACGGGAGUUAAGCUGCUGCCUAUAACACCAGCAUCCUGUAUUGAAGCACCCAUCAAGCUCCCUGCUAAUCUACCUGGGGAAGUAUCAGAAGAUGGCCCAAGUCCUUGGGCCCCUGCACCCACGUGGGAGACCCAGAGGAAGCUCCUGGCUCCUGGCUUCAAAUCAGCAAAGCUCCAACCAUUGCGGCUAAUUGGGGAGUGAACCAGCAGAUAAAAGACCUCUCUCUCUCUCUCUCUCUCUCUCUCUCUCUCUGCCUCUCCUUCUCCCUCUGUGUAACUCUGACUUUCAAGUAAAUAAAUAAGUCUUUUUAAAAAAUAAGAAGUUGUUGUGGGUACCACACAAAUUAUCGUGAGUGUAAUUAUGAAUUCUUCUAUUUGAGGAAGGAAUACAUAGAAGAUAAGUACAAGUGAGGAAGCCAGAUCUUUGUCAUGGAUUCUGGGGACAGGAACACAGAACAGGAAGUCUCCAAUGCUGAAUGUCCACUUUAUUGAAAAGGUCCUACAUCCUCAGGAUUAGGGAGAAUAGGCCUGGUUGCAAAGGAAACCAAGGCCUGGACAUGCUUGUGAGUUUUAAGUGUUUCUUCACUGACUCAGGCCAUCAAGUCUUCUGCCCCUUAAGAUAAUCUGGUUAUCCUACAGAGCAGAGCAUCCGAGAGCUCCCCGACAUGGACCUCAGCGGUGCAGCAUGCCUCCUGAAGACACAGCCACCUCAGAAAACUGCUGUUUUGGGGAAGCAGUCUUUUGUCUCCAGUAGGGAAAAUUGUUUUUGCGUUUUCAUUACGUGUUUUCCUUUUCUGAAAGGCCCACAAUUCAGAAACUAUUGAGAGAUAAAAUCACAGAUGUGCUACUUCAUUUUAAAAGACCCCAGGUUUUUUUUUUUCUUUAAUCAGAAUUUUAGUAAUGUCCACAAAAUAUAUAGCUUUCUUCAAUCAGCCAGUAUGAAAAAAGAAGUAUGUUUGCAUUCGGUUGGCAAAUUUAGAAAUGGACUCUCAUGUUCUAAUAAUCCCUUCAUAAGUAGAAUUACUUAUUAAAAUAAUUUUACCAUUUUAACCUAACCCUAUGCCAAUUAGCUUCAGUUUAUUGGUCUUUUGAGCUCCAGCUGAAACCCACAACCUCUAAAAUAUUCUUUGAAACCAAAUUCUUCUACAACAAAAAUACUGAAUAGUUCUUUAUUGAUAAGUAUAAUAGUAGCUGACAUAUUUUAUGAUCAUAAGCACUGCUAGAUUAUUAAAACAGAUUUUUAAGUUGUAAACACACCUUUAAAAGUGACCUUUUAGAGAUUUUUAACCUAGGGUUCAUGCAUAGAAGUAAUAAAGUCCUUGAAUUUCAAUAGGAGCCAAAAUUACAGUUCUACGGAAUUUGGCCUAGCAGUUUAGACUCUCACAUCCCAUAUCAGAGUACCUGGGUUCAAUUCCUGGCUCCCAAGUCUAGCUUCUUGCCAGUGUGGACCCCGAGAGGCAGUGGUGACGGGUCAAGUAGUUAAGUUCCUGCUACCCACAGGCUCCUAGCUGCAGCCUCGCCUCAGCAGUUGUGGGCAUUUAGGGAGACAGCCAGUGGAUGGAUAAAUCUCUCUCUGUCCCCUAAAUAACAAACUUAUAUAAUUAUGCUCUUAUUUUAAUAACUACUUAUUAAAAUUUUGUAUUUCCUUCCACUAAGAAUGUCAGGAACCAAUUCCAAUAGCAUUAGCAAUACCUGUGAUUUUUUGUCACCAAUAAAAACCACAGAAAUUUUGAAAUUACAAUACAGUUAUUAUUUCAAAAUACCAGUUUCAUCCAUCACUACAUCAAAGUUAGGGUAGUUUUUAGAUCAACCAUUAAAGCAUUUUAAUGUUUUAAUAACAAGCGUGUAUUUCUGUGUCACAAGGCUCUAGUAUUUUGCUAACUGCUUUUACAUAAUAUUGACUUCCUUUACAACCCUAUAUGAUUUAUUUCAUGCAUUUAAAAGCUGUAUGCUCAGAAUCCUCAGGUUUUACCAAACAGCCAAAGGGGUCUUGGGUACCAGAAAAUAUUAUUAACCCCUAUUUUAAAAACAUUAAAUAAUAGAGAAUGCUAACAAGUGAAUUGUGCCCACACAAACACACCCCUCCAAAUUCCUAUAUUGAAGCCCUAAGCUCCAGUGUGACUGUAUUUGGAGACCGGGCCUUUAAGGGAGUAUUCAAGGCUUAAUAAGGUCAUAUGAGGAGAGGCUGGUU